rnacentral:rRNA from 1 species
AGAACGAACGCUGGCGGCAUGCCUAACACAUGCAAGUCGAACGAGACCUUCGGGUCUAGUGGCGCACGGGUGCGUAACGCGUGGGAAUCUGCCCUUGGGUUCGGAAUAACAGCGAGAAAUUGCUGCUAAUACCGGAUGAUGACGUAAGUCCAAAGAUUUAUCGCCCAAGGAUGAGCCCGCGUAGGAUUAGCUUGUUGGUGAGGUAAGAGCUCACCAAGGCGACGAUCCUUAGCUGGUCUGAGAGGAUGAUCAGCCACACUGGGACUGAGACACGGCCCAGACUCCUACGGGAGGCGGCAGUGGGGAAUAUUGGACAAUGGGACGAAAGCCUAGACUCCAGCAAGUGACCGUCGUGAGGUGAGUGAAGGCCGUUAGGGUUAGUAAAGCUUACGUUUACCCGGAUAGUACUAAUGAC